rnacentral:lncRNA from 1 species
CUCACACUGCCCGUGCGUCGCGGCCCCGGUCGGGUGUCGUUCUAAGGCUUGGGAAACCCAGACUGGAGGGUUACAUGAAUUUAGAGGCGGUCAGGGCUUUAGUUGCAAAGAACAGAAUCCAUUCUAGCUCAUUUAGGCAGAAAAGGAGUUUAUUAAAGGAUAUCAAGUGACUCACAGAUCUCCAGGAGGGAGGGCCAGAGACACUGGCUAGGAGACCACACGGCCACGAACAACGUCCAAAUUACAGUGCAGGGCCUUCCCAUCACUGCCACCCGGCCCAGACACCGCCGCUCUCACCAAUGACAUCGGGCACGUCCCUUCUGCCUCGCUGCUAGAUUAGAUUCCACACACCACAAUCCACUUCCAUUGCUUUCACAUGUGGGUGUGUCUGACUGGCUGAGCCCAGGCUCCAUCUGGAUGUAUUUGACUGGCUGCGCCUGGGUACCAUCUGGGUCUAUCUGAUUGGUUGAGCCUAGGUCACAUGCUUACAGCCUAACUGCAAGGGAGGCUGGGAAAGUGAGAUUCAGGCUGCUUCUGGUACAGAUUACUAAGGCGGGAGAUUGUCCUAAGGAAAGCUUUUGGGCUGACAAAAACGUUGAUGGUGCCCACUGCAGAACUGUCCAAAGUCUCUGUCAGUCAGGUCAGUCGUAGAGAGCAGAAUCCACCCAGCCAGUAAAGCAGGGUGGUCUGUAAUCCGUACCGGCGACAUGGUGAGGCUGGAACUACAUUUCCCAGAAUCCCUUUCCACCAACGGUUCCGACUUAAAAUUGACCAAAAGAGGAACUUGUGCGAGAUUUAGAAGGCGGAAGGGAAGCAGCCGUCUCUUCUCUUGCAAGGUCGCUGUCGUUAGAUGUGGCAACAGACUGUGCAGACAGGCCAGCAGGCUCCCGCUUGUCCUUGCUGUCCUCCGCACUGCGUCCAGGUCUUCUUGCUGACCCCUGGCCACCAGCACCUGGCCCACGGCCGGACACUUGGCUGCAGAGGCAAUGUUUCCCCAUCGAUGUCUCUACUAGGGCCCUCGGCACACUCACUUUGGUGGUGGAGGUGUAACUGCCAUCAUAAAUUACUCACCCCAAACUCGUGGGUCAGACCUGGUUGCUUUCCUGGUUGGCUCUGAUUGGCACAUUACAGGCAUUUACAGAAUCACAGAGAGGGCUGAGGAAGCCGCACUGCAGGACUGAGCCGCCGGGCUGGGCUGCCGCUCCCACGGAACGAGGAAGCAUUGCUGCCGACGGGAGGGGCAGACGGCCCAGCGCGCUCGGGGCUGCACCUGCAGGCUGGAUGCCCUCUCAGUGCCGACCAUGGGGUCUCUUGUGCCCGCAGCUGGCUGGUGGGCCCU